ACCAACAAUGUCUGUUGGAAUUAGUUAAGCAUUUGAAAUAUGCUUAACAAACGUGCGACAGCCAACCCGAUUUCCAUUCCUGCAGGGUCAGUGCGAGCCAAUUUCCAGUUGCCAUUUUAAACAGGAACGUGUCCUGCACACUCACCUUGGCACAUUUGUGAUCUCCAGAAUAAAUAGGCCACCAAAUACAGGCGAUUCAUCUUCAUCAUCAUUUGCCCCAAAUUUCUUGGACAUCCCCGAACAUGUUUCUGGCAUUUUUCAACAAUUGGCAAGUGCACCCCCUCCCUCAAUCUUGACCAGAACUGUGUGCGCUAACCCAUGUGCCGAGUGGAAAGUUCAUUGCAUACAUACGUACACAGACACGUGGGUUUCUUGUGCGACCCGAAGGAGUAUAGUUGCAGUAGUUUGCCUAAUAUAUUGUUGCAAGGCAAAUCAACACAAAUUUUCGAAGGAUACGUGUACCGACUUUGUUGCUGGCUGAUGUCUGCCCCGUGUCAGUGGAGCAUGCAACUUGCCAGGCCACACCCACUGCCCACCGCCUACCGCCUACCGCCCACUUCCACCCACCGAGGACUAUAAGCCAGCACGACCACCACCACCGCCACCACCCACUGAAGAACGCCCACAAAGACGAGCUGACAUGCAAACACAUAAACGCCAUUUCGCCUCCAGUUGCCACCUAAAUGGCAAUGACAUCGCCCCAGAAGACGAGCAAGAUGGCAAAAUGUUUCACUUUUGAGUCGACUUUUUCAUUCGUGUGCGGAGCGCUUUAACAUGUUACCUUCCAAUUUGCCGUCCUCCGCUGUCGAUGGCCAGUCAAACGGAUCCGGGCCAGAUGCGUCAAAUUAAUUUCAUACCAAGCCAACCGAACCGGACCGAACCCUCUUUUGAGCGCAGAAUUGGCCAGUUUUUUAGACGUGCCACAAAAGGGAAUGACGGACAAAUUUCAACAUUUUAGGUAACUUCAGAUGGGUUUUAAAAAAUAAAUAUCUUAGUCUGCGACCCCUCAAAACAUAUAGGAACUCUAAUCUAACUUGACACAAUAAUAAAGUUAUUUUGACGUUGAAAAAA